AAAGAAAAAAAGAAAAAAGAGAGAGAGAAAAGAAAAGAAAAUAUUCCCCUCCAUAGAAGGAAAGUAAGUCAAAGUUUAAACCUAACCAUAGAUGAACAGCCCAUGGUCCACAGCAUCCCCUGUGGAGUAAGAUUUGGGCUUGAGUCCUUAGUAUCAAGUAGCAAGAACUACAGAAAGGCAGUUUAACAGCCUUCUUAAAGUGCCAUAGGACACCUUCACUGGAGUUUCAGAAAUUCUAAAUAUAGAAUUCAAAAGCAGCAAACACUAAUAUCAGGAUUUAGUUUGGCCCAGAGUAACCUUGUAAAGAAGAUUGUCUGCAUGUCAGGACAAAGCAAAGAAGAAUUCAGCAACUGCUGCUUAAAAACUCAUUCACUACUUUAGAAAUCAAGACAAAGUGAAAGACAUGGAUGGAAUGAAUUCAGCCCCUCCUCCUAUUGUUUCUCUAGCAAGCAGGUGACCAAAGCUAUGAAUGUUUGUUUCCUGAAAACUAAAGUCCUGACUUGUCAUCUUCAUAGUGAAAAGAGCCUCAAACAUAUUAGUUCUUAUGAACCCACAUACUAUAGUUAAACCAGCUCUCAACUGUUUAUUUUAAAUACUCAAAUUGU